GACCUGUGCUCCUCCGUCGGUGCUCUGGCUGCCAGGAGCAUCGAAUUUAAAGAAGUGGCCAUGCUGCCGGCAUCAGACCCCACUGUGGCCACAGGGAGAGCCACGGAGUUCAAACAACAGCUCCAGCACCUCGCCAACCAGGUGAGGUCAAAUGAUCAAUUUGACCUCCUCACGCACACCUUGGGGCCAGGAAUGGUAGAGGUGGUGGUGGAUAUUUUAAAAGUGUGUUGACACACACAUUGAAAAUAUUAACAAUUAGCAAUUUGUUGUUUGUUGUGUUCAUUAAUUAAAUAUCUUCAUGUUCUACAUCACUGUGUAUGUGUCGUGAAUUGGAAGUGUAUUGAACUUGGCAUCUUGAUUUAACUAGUCUGAUAAUUUAGCUAGCUGGGCCUGAAAUCGCAUGGUGUAAAUUACAGAUCCGACAUGUUAGACAUGUGGAUUAAGGCAAAUAGUCAUGGUAACACUAUGUCAACACUAAUUUCUACAGCUUCACAUAAGGGUUUAUUCCAGUAGAGUGUUACAAGUUAAUGAAACCCCAACUUACAUUAAUUUUUUUUUAUUAAAUGUAUCGUCAGAGGACACACACAUGAUGGAGGAGAGACAUGACUGAUGGGGUGUGACAUAUUCUUUAUUGAAAAUAAAGGCCAAAUACAACCCUCAUACACACAGUAAAAUGGUAAAAACAAAAUUUCACACGCAAACAGCUUAGUUUACUAAGCACGAAGGAUGGCAGAAUUUAAUACACUAUAAAUAUUAUCUAAAUAUUUUAUUGGGGCAGUGUGGGACAGGUCGGAAAACUGGGGAAA